GCCCUUAUAGUUUAACUGGAAAAACAGUGGAUUUGUAACCCACCAUUCUCGGGUCAGUUCCGAGUGAGGGCACCA
rnacentral:tRNA from 1 species